GACGAACGCUGGCGGCGUGCCUAACACAUGCAAGUCGAACGGACAGGCGCUGCUUUUGUGGACUGCUCGAUAGCCGCACGGGUGAGUAUCACGUGUGUAUACUGCCCUUGCCAUUCUGAUAACUUUAGGGUACUCGGGCUCUUACCGGAUAGGAUAUCCUGCUGCGUGGUGGGGGUUGGUAAGUUUCGGCGGUUGGGGAUGGUCUCGUGGCAUAUCCGCUUGUUGGUGGGGUAGUGGCUUACCAAGGCUGCGAAGGGUAGCCGGCCUGAGAGGGUGACCGGCCACAUUGGGACUGAGAUACGGCCCAGACUCCAACGGGACGCAGCGGUGGAGAAUAUUGCACAAUGGGCGGGAGCCAGAUGCAACAACGCCACGUGCGGGAUGACAUCCUUCGGGUUGUAAACCGAUGUCGCCUGAGACGAGGCGUGAGUGACGGUAAUGGGUAAAGAAGCACCGGCUAACUACGUG
rnacentral:rRNA from 1 species